CAGUCGCCGCGGUAAUACGAGGGGGGAAAGCGUUGUUCGGAAUUACUGGGCGUGAAGCGUGCGUAGGUGGUGGUUUAAGUCCGUUGUGAAGGCCCUGGGCUCAACCUGGGAAUUGCAGUGGAUACUGGGUCACUAGAGUGUGGUAGAGGAUAGUGGAAUUUCCGGUGUAGCAGUGAAAUGCGUAGAGAUGUGGAGGAACACCGAUGGCGAAGGCAGCCCCCUGGGCCAACACUGACGCUCAUGCACGAAAGCGUGGGGAGCAAACAGGAUUAGAUACCCGCGUAGUCCCUGUCUCUUAUAC
rnacentral:rRNA from 1 species